rnacentral:rRNA from 1 species
AUGGUCCUCCAUUUCGUCAACCAACAACUCCAGCACCUUUCGAGCAAAGAUGAGUUUGAUGACAUAGACAAGCUCACACUUUUGAGUCUCGAGUUCACUUGGAGUGCCGAGGAUGAUCCUAUUAGGAAGGUUAUACUAGAGGAAAUGAAGAAGAUUAAGAGUGGAAAGGAGCUAGUGGAAGAAGUAAGGAAGAUUGAGAAGAACAUCAAUGCUGGCAGCACUAUUUCUUCACAACUUGAGUUGAGUGUGGCUGAGAUAUCCAUGGAUACAUGUGAGGUUCCAACACCUUCACAUUUCGUUGAGCAAGUUAGCAAGUGCCUUGAGCAAGAGAUACCUCAGAUUGAAGAAGAUGAACUAGAAGACAAGGAACAAGAUGGUCAAGAGCUGCAAUUCCCAAGUGAUCAAGUUGAAGACUCAUCAUCUAUUACUCCUGAAGAAGUACAAGAAGCUGCUGUAGAUGAAGAUGAAGAACAUGAGAUUCAUUUGCCUAUUGUCAUACCAGAGUGUGAUGUGUCAGGUUCGAGGUGA